UUAAGUUCAGCGGGUAGUCCUGCCUGAUCUGAGGCCAAACACUUAAAUAGGUUUGUAAAUGGCUAGCUGCACCCCACCAUACCCACAGAAGUCCGGCGAAUAAAGACCUAUUACGCCAGACAAAUCUGCAGAGGAGGAGAAAGCAGACCACUGAUACAUUUAGAGUGAGCUGAUGCACAGGUCCAGCAGGCACUCAUGAU
rnacentral:misc_RNA from 1 species